CUGAGAGGCAGGAGUGCCCCCACUCCCAGCGACUGAAUGUUCCACGUUCCAAGGGAGAGAAAACAGAAGCUCUUGGAAGAGGAGCCCGGAGACAGCGAGGCAUCCUGUCCUGCCACCCUUCACAGGGGAAUCAAGAGGGUCAGUCUGCAGACAGCACAGACUGGGUGGGGCCUGACCAGAGGCCCUCCACUCUGCGUACACUUCCAAGGGGAGGUCUGUGCGGUGCAGAAAAUGUAAAGGCUGCAGCAGCGGAGAGGCUAACAAAGGACGGCAGUGUCAGAAGUCUUCAAUCCCUAGGUCAAAGGUCUAAGGAGUUGGGGCAUCUGAACCCACCGCAAGGACACAAGAACUCAGAGUACGCAGUGACCACCGCUUUCCUUCAGACAGAGGCUGAAUUUAAGGAAAAACCUAUCCCAAUUCAGUCCCGCGUCUCGCUCUGAACCUUAACAGGUGUGUAGCAGCCCCUUUUCUGGCCACAUGAGGUCAGCAUUGAGUCACUCACUGCUUCCAGCACCUUGCCUGCACUCUUGACAGGAAGCCCUUCUGGGGACCCUUCAGAAUGGGGAGAGGGACCAUGCAGUGCCAUUUGGAAAGAUGACUUGGGGACUCUGACUCAGGCCUCAGCAUGGUCGGGGCCCUGAGUUUGCUUCCUCAGCCCCUCCAGUCCUCUUCUCUCUCUGCGGCUUUUUAUUCUGGUUCCCUUUGUAGUGCCCCCACUCCCAGCUUCCACCCAUCCCAGCCAGGCUCCUCUUCAGGAAACAGGCCCGGUUGCCAUGGUGACCAGCUGGUCUGCUGGCUCCUUCCUUGCCCCCUCCCUUCACCCCUCUUUCUCCUGAGCUUCCAAGGAAGGGUAAUGUGUGUGGAUAGAGGGGAUUGUUAGGGGUCCUUUAUCUCCUGGGAGCUCUGGGGUUGGCCAAAAGGAGUUGGGCCAGCUCUCCUCCAAAGCCCCCCUGAGGUGGAGACAGGAAGGCAGUAGGGGUGGGGAACAGGAGCAAGAUCACAACAACUAAAUGGGGAGCGUGGGCCUCCUAUCUGGGUUAGGAAAGAGCAGGGCUAGGACCUCUGAGUGGUCUGCAGUGAGGACUGAACUAGGUGGAACCGGCUGAGACCAGAAGUGGGGUUGGAGUUAGUUGUGAGGCAGGGCUUCCCGUAAAAAAAUACAGGUGGGAGACACUGGAGUGAGCCACCAAGUGAGAUUCCUCCUCUGCGCUGAGAAUGGGGGAGAGGCCAGCCUCUUCAGGACCACACCCUUCCUCUGUUUGGGUCUGGAGGAUGGAACGACUGACCGACUGACCGGUGGGGGAUCAUGCAGGCUGGAUGGUUCUGUAGCCGGAGGCUGCCAGCCAGCCACCUUAGCUUGGCCUGGAAAGAGGAGAAUUGGAAAAUGAAGGUAGGACCAGGAGUGGGUGUGUGUGUGGGAGGGUGGGACCGAGGCAGGGGCCAUUCUGCCUCAGGUGAGCAUCCCAGCAGAUGACUGCGCUUGUCGCCUAGCCCAAAGACAAUUCUCCAAAGCUUUGCCUUGAGUUAACUUCCUACCCACAAACAGCCCCAUGGCCUUUGGAAUGGAAAAGAUCUGGAUUCUAGGACUAGCUCUGUGAGUACUAGCAGGUGACCUUGAGUAAAUCGCUCACACUCCCUAUACCUUGGUUCUGAUGUGGGAAACAAAGGCAGAAGAAAAAUUAUUAAAUUUUCUUACUACCUACAGCCCAUUGACAAGUCCUUGAAACAGGCCGAGUGACAUUCUUCUAGGAACUCCACUGCCUCAAUGAUAAUACUUUGCUAAGGGCAAAAGGCAAUCCUGGCCUGACACCCUUCUCCUCCCCCAGGAUCCUGAACUUGCGGGAACCAACGAUGGGGAGGGAUGUUGGCUGAACCACUGGUGCCCACUCCGCAGAGAAGGGACGGAAGGAGCUGCGGCACAGAUCUUCCCAGGAAGGGGGUGGUGGUGGUGCGGUGAGCAAGGCUGGGAGUGGGGAAGGGGUGCGGGGAGCCCCUGUUGCUUCUUCUCUUUGAGGGGUGGCUAUUAGGUAGUCUUGGGGAAGGCGGAGUUUGGGGGGCCGGGGGCGGGGCUCCUGAGCUGGGAGGAAGAGGUGGGGCGCGCUGGCUCCAGCUCGGCUCAGACAAAAGGCGGCGGCGGGAGCGGGCGGGAGGCGGAGCGGCGCCGCGAGGGCCUCAAGGUGACACCCGCCCCCGGCCCCGGCCCCCCCGGCCC